rnacentral:rRNA from 1 species
UUGAACGCUGGCGGCAGGCCUAACACAUGCAAGUCGAACGGUAACAGGAAGCAGCUUGCUGUUUCGCUGACGAGUGGCGGACGGGUGAGUAAUGUCUGGGAAACUGCCUGAUGGAGGGGGAUAACUACUGGAAACGGUAGCUAAUACCGCAUAACGUCGCAAGACCAAAGAGGGGGACCUUCGGGCCUCUUGCCAUCGGAUGUGCCCAGAUGGGAUUAGCUAGUAGGUGGGGUAACGGCUCACCUAGGCGACGAUCCCUAGCUGGUCUGAGAGGAUGACCAGCCACACUGGAACUGAGACACGGUCCAGACUCCUACGGGAGGCAGCAGUGGGGAAUAUUGCACAAUGGGCGCAAGCCUGAUGCAGCCAUGCCGCGUGUAUGAAGAAGGCCUUCGGGUUGUAAAGUACUUUCAGCGGGGAGGAAGGGAGUAAAGUUAAUACCUUUGCUCAUUGACGUUACCCGCAGAAGAAGCACCGGCUAACUCCGUGCCAGCAGCCGCGGUAAUACGGAGGGUGCAAGCGUUAAUCGGAAUUACUGGGCGUAAAGCGCACGCAGGCGGUUUGUUAAGUCAGAUGUGAAAUCCCCGGGCUCAACCUGGGAACUGCAUCUGAUACUGGCAAGCUUGAGUCUCGUAGAGGGGGGUAGAAUUCCAGGUGUAGCGGUGAAAUGCGUAGAGAUCUGGAGGAAUACCGGUGGCGAAGGCGGCCCCCUGGACGAAGACUGACGCUCAGGUGCGAAAGCGUGGGGAGCAAACAGGAUUAGAUACCCUGGUAGUCCACGCCGUAAACGAUGUCGACUUGGAGGUUGUGCCCUUGAGGCGUGGCUUCCGGAGCUAACGCGUUAAGUCGACCGCCUGGGGAGUACGGCCGCAAGGUUAAAACUCAAAUGAAUUGACGGGGGCCCGCACAAGCGGUGGAGCAUGUGGUUUAAUUCGAUGCAACGCGAAGAACCUUACCUGGUCUUGACAUCCACGGAAGUUUUCAGGGAUGAGAAUGUGCCUUCGGGAACCGUGAGACAGGUGCUGCAUGGCUGUCGUCAGCUCGUGUUGUGAAAUGUUGGGUUAAGUCCCGCAACGAGCGCAACCCUUAUCCUUUGUUGCCAGCGGUCCGGCCGGGAACUCAAAGGAGACUGCCAGUGAUAAACUGGAGGAAGGUGAGGAUGACGUCAAGUCAUCAUGGCCCUUACGACCAGGGCUACACACGUGCUACAAUGGCGCAUACAAAGAGAAGCGACCUCGCGAGAGCAAGCGGACCUCAUAAAGUGCGUCGUAGUCCGGAUUGGAGUCUGCAACUCGACUCCAUGAAGUCGGAAUCGCUAGUAAUCGUGGAUCAGAAUGCCACGGUGAAUACGUUCCCGGGCCUUGUACACACCGCCCGUCACACCAUGGGAGUGGGUUGCAAAAGAAGUAGGUAGCUUAACCUUCGGGAGGGCGCUUACCACUUUGUGAUUCAUGACUGGGGUG